AAAUCCGGCGGGUGCUUACCUGCAGUCGAACGGAAAGGCCCUUCGGGGUACUCGAGUGGCGAACGGGUGAGUAACACGUGGGUGAUCUGCCCUGCACUCUGGGAUAAGCCUGGGAAACUGGGUCUAAUACCGGAUAGGACCACACACUUCAUGGUGAGUGGUGCAAAGCUUUUGCGGUGUGGGAUGAGCCCGCGGCCUAUCAGCUUGUUGGUGGGGUAAUGGCCCACCAAGGCGACGACGGGUAGCCGGCCUGAGAGGGUGACCGGCCACACUGGGACUGAGAUACGGCCCAGACUCCUACGGGAGGCAGCAGUGGGGAAUAUUGCACAAUGGGCGCAAGCCUGAUGCAGCGACGCCGCGUGAGGGAUGACGGCCUUCGGGUUGUAAACCUCUUUCAGUAGGGACGAAGCGAAAGUGACGGUACCUACAGAAGAAGGACCGGCCAACUACGUGCCAGCAGCCGCGGUAAUACGUAGGGUCCGAGCGUUGUCCGGAAUUACUGGGCGUAAAGAGCUCGUAGGUGGUUUGUCGCGUUGUUCGUGAAAACUCACAGCUUAACUGUGGGCGUGCGGGCGAUACGGGCAGACUAAAUUACUGCAGGGGAGACUGGAAUUCCUGGUGUAGCGGUGGAAUGCGCAUAUAUCAGGAGGAACACCGGUGGCGAGGGCGGGUCUCUGGGCAGUAACUGACGCUGAGGAGCGAAGGGGGGGGUAGCAAACAGGAUUAGAUACCCUUGGUCCUCCA
rnacentral:rRNA from 1 species